rnacentral:rRNA from 1 species
GACGAACGCUGGCGGCGUGCUUAACACAUGCAAGUCGAACGGAAAGGCCCUGCUUUUGUGGGGUGCUCGAGUGGCGAACGGGUGAGUAACACGUGAGUAACCUGCCCUUGACUUUGGGAUAACUUCAGGAAACUGGGGCUAAUACCGGAUAGGAGCUCCUGCUGCAUGGUGGGGGUUGGAAAGUUUCGGCGGUUGGGGAUGGACUCGCGGCUUAUCAGCUUGUUGGUGGGGUAGUGGCUUACCAAGGCUUUGACGGGUAGCCGGCCUGAGAGGGUGACCUGCCACAUUGGGACUGAGAUGCGGCCCAGACUCCUACGGGAGGGAGCAGUGGGGAAUAUUGCACAAUGGGCGGAAGCCUGAUGCAGCAACGCCGCGUGCGGGAUGACGGCCUUCGGGUUGUAAACCGCUUUCGCCUGUGACGAAGCGUGAGUGACGGUAAUGGGUAAAGAAGCACCGGCUAACUACGUG